ACUAUAUCAGACACUAAGAGGUAAGGGUCAACAAGAAAUGUGAUAUGGAGUAGAAGAUUCAAAUUCUGCCUCUAGGUAGAAGCAAGCCUACGUCCCAGCAAGACUCCCAGAUAAACUAGCCUCUUAACAACCAGAGUGGAGCUGAGAGAGUGAGGAGGACAAGUGCAUAUACCUUGAUAGCACCAAAUAUAAACCGGAGAAAUGAGAUACAAAGAAAGUGAACAUUUAGGAAAUGAGCCCUGCUCCCCAGGAAGCUGACUCUGCACAGUGGUCUGGAGUGCCUGAAACCAGAGCGAGGGUCUCCACCUGUGGCACCGAGCCCUCACUCCCUAGAGUUGCAUUGCGGAACAGGAGCUGGCCAACCUGGAGAAGUGGAAGGAGCAGAACAGAGCUAAACCAGUUCACCUGGUGCCCAGACGGCUAGGUGGAAGCCAGUCAGAAACUGAAGUCAGACAGAAACAACAACUCCAGCUGAUGCAAUCUAAAUACCAGCAAAAGCUAAAAAGAGAAGAAUCUGUAAGAAUCAAGAAGGAAG
rnacentral:sRNA from 1 species